UCUUUGAUAAGAGUAUAUUUUGAACCAGAUGAAAAACAGUGUGUCGACCACACUGGCUGGAAUAUAACCCAAGGGAUAGAGUUCCAAUUAGCAGAGAUGCAAACAGGUGAAAUCCUUAGCAAUUCAAGUAAUUGUCUUGCUCGUAGGCUCGCAGAGCCAAGGGGGUUAUGGGUGCAGCUAUAUCAGUGCCAAAAACAAUAUCAAACUGUUCGGGACAAAUCGGGAGACCCAACUUGGGGCAUACCCACGCAAAUCACUGUCAGAGAUGAUAGAGAGAUUACUGUGUGAAUAUCGCUAAAGUCCUUGCGUAGUUGAAGCUUGGUAACAAGCUAUAAGAACAGACGAUAGUCCAAGUAGCCAAAAUAAAGUCUACGCUUUAUUAACAAGUGCAAUUAUUUUGUUUAAGGUGAAACAAACAAAUUACAGUUCCUAAAAAAGGGAAAAUGUCUAUUGCUGGUGAAAGGUGCGACGAGAGAUGUCGUUAGGGUUUAGGCUUUAGCUGGGUAAGAGUGGAGGUGCAGGCAUGUGCCAAGGGCUCUUAUUCCCCUAUGUGUGAAUAUUGGUUGGGAUAUAGUGUGUAUGAGGAGGACUCACAAAAUAUACUUUUAUCAAA
rnacentral:ncRNA from 1 species